rnacentral:lncRNA from 1 species
AACUGAAGAGUAACGGCAGCAAGUGAUUGAGUUCAGUAGUUCCUCAUAUAAAAUUAUUGACUCUAGAGAUAUAGUAAUAUGGAGAAGACUAAAUUGUUUCAAGCACCGACAGAACCAGAAGCGCCCCUUGUUUCAAAGAGAGGAGGACGGGUUAUUCACAUUUGAUUUGAUGGUCAGAGGCGAAUUGAAAGCUAAGCAGUGGUAAUAGUAAUUCGAAAGAUUUCCCGGGAAAAAUAGAGAUGUCUCCUACGUUACCCAUAUAUGUGGAAGUAUCGACGUAAUUUCAUAGAGUCAUUCGGUCUGAAUGCUACAUGAAGAACAUAAGCCAGAUGACGGAACGGGAAGACCUAGGAUGUAGAAGAUCAUAACAUGAGUGAUUCGGCAGAUUUGGAUUCCUAUAUAUCCACUCAUGUGGUACUUCAUUAUAUGAUAUUGUGGUACUUCAUUAUAUGAUAUAUAUAAGAUCCAUCUGUAUAGAUAUCAUCAUCUACAUCCAGAAAGCCGUAUGCUUUGGAAGAAGCUUGUACGGUUUGGGAAGGGGUUUUGAUUGAUCAAAAAGAUGAAUCUACUUCAACCGAUAUGCCCUUAGGCACGGCCAUACAUAACAUAGAAAUCACACUUGGAAAGGGUGGACAAUUAGCUAGAGCAGCGGGUGCUGUAGCGAAACUGAUUGCAAAAGAGGGGAAAUCGGCCACAUUAAAAUUACCUUCUGGGGAGGUCCGUUUGAUAUCCAAAAACUGCUCAGCAACAGUCGGACAAGUGGGGAAUGUUGGGGCGAACCAGAAAAGUUUGGGUAGAGCCGGAUCUAAAUGUUGGCUAGGGAAGCGUCCUGUAGUAAGAGGAGUAGUUAUGAACCCUGUAGACCACCCCCAUGGGGGUGGUGAAGGAAGGGCUCCGAUUGGUAGAAAAAGACCCGCAACCCCUUGGGGUUAUCCUGCACUUGGAAGACGAAGUAGAAAAAGGAAUAAAUAUAGUGAUAAUUUGAUUCUUCGCCGCCGUACUAAAUAGGAGAGAAAAUCGAAUUUUUUUCUUCGUUUUUACAAUUUACAAAAAAAAAAGAAAAAAAUAGGAGUUAAUUAACUGUGACACGUUCACUAAAAAAAAAUCCUUUUGUAGCGAAUCAUUUAUUAAGAAAAAUCGAUAAGCUUAAUACAAAGCGGAAAAAGAAAUAAUAAUAACUUGGUCCCGGGCAUCUACCAUUAUACCCACAAUGGUCGGCCAUACUAUUGCUAUCCAUAAUGGAAGGGAGCAUUUGCCUAUUUAUAUAACAGAUCGUAUGGUAGGACAUAAAUUGGGAGAAUUUGCGCCCACUAUCAAUUUCCGUGGACAUGCAAAAAAUGAUAAUAGAUCCCGUCGUUAAUAAAGUGAAUAUAGAUUCAUUGGUGAGAGGUGAACCUUAUGAUAAGGAUAAUAAAGAAGAAGGUAGAAGUAUCUGCUUUAGGUCAACAUAUAUGUAUGUCUGCUCACAAAGCCCGAAGGGUAAUUGAUCAGAUUCGUGGACGUUCUUACGAGGAAACCCUUAUGAUACUCGAACUCAUGCCUUAUCGAGCAUGUUAUCCCAUUUUAAAAUUGGUUUAUUCUGCAGCAGCAAAUGGUAUUCACAAUCUGGGUUUCAACGAAGGAAGUUUAUUCAUUAUUAAAGCCGAAUAGCUAUGGGUCCUACUGCGAAAAGAUUAAAACCUCGAGCCCGAGGGCGGAGUUAUCUGAUCAAAAACCACUUGUCAUAUAACUAUUGUUUUAAAAGAUAUAUCCUUAGCUGAAUAUGGAAUAUAGAGACUAUCUCGAUCUCGAGUGCUCAAAAAACACUAGAUUAAUAAAUAAAAAAAAAAAGAAAAAAAAACUAUGACAUGUCAUGAUACAUAUAGGAAUGGGGGAUUAUGGGACAAAAAUAAAUCCACUAGGUUUCCGGCUUGGUACAACACAAAGUCAUCAUUCUCUUUGGUUUGCAAAACAAAAAACUAUUGCGAGGGGUCUACAAGAAGAUCAAAAAAAUACGAAACUUUAUUAGAAUUAUUAUAAAAAAAAAUAUCAGAAUAUCUUCCGGUGUUGAGGGAAUUGCACGGAUAGAGAUUCAAAAAAGAAUUGAUCUAAUUCAAGUUAUAAUCUAUAUAGGGUUCCCAAAAUUAUUACUAGAAAAUAGACCCGCGAAGAAUUGAAGAAUUACAGAUGAAUGUACAAAAAGAACUUAAUUGUGUGAAUCGAAAAAUAAACAUUGCUAUUACACGAAUUACAAAUCCUUAUGGACACCCAAUAUUCUUGCCGAAUUUAUUAGCCGGACAAUUAAAAAUAGAGUUUCUUUUCGAAAAGCAAUGAAAAAAGCUAUUGAAUUAACGGAACAGGCCGAUACAAAAGGAAUUCAAGUACAAAUUGCAGGGCGUCUUGACGGAAAAGAAAUUGCGCGCGCCGAAUGGAUCAGAGAAGGUAGAGUUCCUCUACAAACCAUUGGAGCUAAAAUUGAUUAUUGUUCCUAUACGGUUCGAACUAUCUACGGGGUAUUGGGAAUCAAAAUUUGGAUAUUUGUAGACGAAAAAAAAUAAGAGUUUACGGGUCUUUAGAGCCCCCCAUUAAUUGGAAAUAAACCAAACAAAGAACGAGCUCUUUUUUAUCUUCAAUCAAAACAAAAAUGAGAAAUUCCGCAAUUCUAUAGGGUUGAAUAAAAAUUCGAUUGAUUUUUUUUUUUUUAUAUAAUUGCUAUGCUUAGUGUGCGGACUCGUUGGUUUUUUUUAGGGCUAGGAUUCCAAAAAUGGACCGUCCUGUAGUAUGAACUAAUAACUAUAGCACUAAUAACCAACUCAUUGCUUCGUAUUAUCUGAAUCCAAAGAACCAGUCAAGAUAUAUAUAUAGUUGUGGUCAUUAUCGUUGUAAGCAACUGAAAUUUGCAUAACAUAAAAACCCAAUCUGGAUUGUAGGUUGUGAAGUUCGAAGUUGUGAAAGAAAAUCGAAAAGCAUGCGGAUAAAUGGAAGGAUGAGAGAAAGAGAGAAAGAAAAAUAUCAAUGAUAUAAGAUUCCAAUAUGUAAGGUCUGUAAGUCAUCUCAUAAAAAACAGUGUAAUAUAGCAUCAAUAAUGAUUCAUCCCUAACUAGAUGAAUCCGCUCAUAGAACAAAAAAAAUCAAGAGCCCCGAGCCAAUAAAAACUGAGAAAAUUGACUUAAGAAAAAAAUUUCAUUAAGGGCUCCGUUGGAGAAUUUCAGACCUAACCAUUAAUCGAGAAGCAAUGGAACGACGGAACCCGUGAAUAAAGAAAAAAGAAGAUUCUAUUGGAAAUGAAUCUUAAUGAUUUAUUGGGGUGGGAUGGCGAAACGAACCCAGGAACUAAACUAUUCUUUUAUUCGUAGAGGUCAUGAACUAACCCUACAACUGAAAUAGAUAUUGAAAGAGUAAAUAUUCGCCCGCGAAAGGUUUAUUUUUUGAUUUUAUUGGAUUGAUUCAUUUUGCUCGAUCCGAUAUGGUAAAGGGCAAAACAAAAUAAAGAUUUGUUAUAACGAUAAAAAAAAAAAAAAGACAUUGAGAUUAUCUAUAAAUAGAACAUAAAUGUUUCAAUUCUAUAUCUAAACAUGAUAUACAAAUUUAGAAUAGAUUAAUUAGAUGAACUUUCAAAAAAUCCUAUGCUUCAGUAUAUUAUUCAUUAAAUUCCCCUAUAUCUUGAUAAAAUCGUUUUUAGUCCUUUCAUUCGCGAGGAGCUGGAUGAGAAGAAACUCUCAUGUCCAGUUCUGUAGUAGAGAUGGCAUUGAGAAAGAACCAUCAAUUAUAACCCCAAAAGAACAAGAUUCCGUAAACAACAUAGAGGAAGAAUGAAAGGGAUAUCUUAUCGAGGUAAUCAUAUUUGUUUCGGCAGAUAUGCUCUUCAAGCACUUGAACCCGCUUGGAUCACAUCUAGACAAAUCGAAGCGGGGCGCCGCGCAAUGACACGAAAUGUACGGCGCGGUGGAAAAAUAUGGGUACGUAUCUUUCCAGACAAACCCGUUACACUAAGACCCACGGAAACCCGUAUGGGGUCCGGUAAAGGAUCCCCGAUUGGGUAGCCGUCGUUAAACCGGGUAGAAUACUUUAUGAAAUGAGUGGAGUAGCUGAAAAUAUAGCUCGAAAGGCUAUUUCAAUAGCGGCGUCCAAAAUGCCUAUAAGAACUCAAUUCAUUAUUUCGGGAUAGGAAUGUCGAAACAAAGGGAAAUAAAAUCUUGGGUAUAAAAAAUUGCGGGUCUUCCUUUUUUUUUUUACUUCUGUCCUUUCAGUGCUUUACUUUAAAUUUAAACAUUAAAAAAAACGGACUCAAAAAAACGAUAUGAUUCAACCUCAAACCCAUUUGAAUGUAGCAGACAAUAGCUGGUGCCCGAUGAAUUGAUGUGUAUUCGAAUCAUAGGAGCCAGUAAUCGUAGAUAUGCUCAUAUUGGUGACGUUAUUAGUUGCUGUGAUCAAGGAAGCAGUACCCAAUACGCCUCUAGAAAGAUCAGAAAGUGAUCAGAGCUGUAAUUGUACGUACUUGUAAAGAACUCAGACGUGAUAACGGUAUGAUAAUACGGUACGAUGACAAUGCUGCAGUUGUCAUUGGAUCACGAAGGAAAUCCAAAGGGAACUCGAGUUUUUGGUUGCGAUCGCCCGGGAAUUGAGACAGUUUGAAUUUUACUAAAAUAGUUUCAUUAGCACCUGAAGUAUUAUAAGAGGGGACCGCGAUAUAGUGAUAGUAUGAAAUAAAAUAGAUAAAUCAAAAUUUAGUAGAGUAUGUCUCACGCAUAUACUUUUAAUAAUUUUCAUAAAAAAAAAGAACAUGUUGAUUAUAUCAAAAUUUGGAAGCAACAAAAUUUUCAGUUUAUCAUGGGCAAGGACACUAUUGCUGACAUAAUAACUUCUAUACGAAAUGCUGACAUGAAUAGAAGGGGAACGGUUCGAAUAGCAUCUACUAACAUCACCGGAAAACGUUGUUAAAAUCCUUUUGCGAGAGGGUUUUAUCGAAAACGCAAGGAAACUCGUGGAAAACAAAAACCAAAAAAGAGUUUUUGGUUUUAACCCUACGACAUCGAAGGAAUAGGAAAGGGCCCGUAUAUGACCCAUUUUAAAUUUAAAACGAAUCAGUCGACCCGGUCUACGAAUCUAUUUUAACUAUCGACGAAUUCCUAGAAUUUUAGAUGGGAUGGGGAUUGUAAUUCUCUCUACUUCUCGGUGGUAUAAUGACAGACCGAGCGGCUCGACUGGAAAGAAUCGGUGGAGAAAAUUUUGUGUUAUAUAUGGUAAUUAUUCUGCUAUCCGAAUUGUAUUUGGAGCUUACUUUUAUGUUGUGAGAAAAAAAAAGGGAGGAUUCCUCGAGGUUUAAUUACCGAAUAACUUACCAAAGGUUAUGCUCCGGGUUCUUUUAGAUAGUUUAGAGAGCGAAGUAGAUUCUAGAUUAUGUUUCAGGAGGGAUGCGACCCGUUUUUCUACAUCUACUCCCGGUGGCUAGAGGCAAAAUUGAAGGAAGUCGUUAUGAUUCAGAUUCAACUGGAGGAUAUAAUAAUAAUAUAUAGACUACACAAAAGGAUUUGAGUGAUUAGGUGAUUUUUCAACAUUCCUUUCAGGGGGAUACAAAUCGCGGUUCAAAAAUUUCAAGAAACUUAUUUUCUUCCAACUUCCAAUAAGGAGAUUCGAAAUUCAUUUAAGGAAUAACAAUUAUGAAAAUAAGGGCUUCAGUUCGUAAAAUUUGUGAAAAAUGUCGACUGAUCCGCAGGAGGGGACGGAUUAUAGUAAUUUGUUCCAACCCGAGACAUAAACAAAGACAAGGAUAAUCUUUCGAAAAGUUUAGAAAGUAACCGAUGAACAAAUCAACAUAAAAGAUCGGUUUUGACAUGAAAUGGAUAUAUCCAUAUAUCUCUGACUUAUAUUUAUGAAAUGAUCAAAUAUGGCAAAAUCUCCACCACGAAGUGGUUCACGUAGGCCGGGACGGAUCGGUUCACGUAAAAGUGGACGUCGAAUACCAAAGGGCGUUAUUCAUGUUCAAGCAAGUUUCAACAACACCAUUGUGACUGUUACAGAUGUCCGGGGUCGGGUAAUUUCUUGGUCCUCGGCCGGUACUUGUGGAUUCAGGGGUACAAGAAGAGGUACGCCUUUUGCUGCUCAAACCGCAGCAGGAAAUGCUAUUCGAGCAGUAGUAGCGGAUCAAGGUAUGCAACCGAGCAGAAGUCAUGAUAAAGGGUCCUGGUCUCGGAAGAGAUGCCCGGCAUUACGAGCUAUUCGUAGAAGCGGUAUCCUUUUAAAUUUCGUACGGGAUGUAACCCCUAUGCCACACAAUGGUUUGCAGACCCCCCUAAAAAAAGACGGGUUGUAGAAAUAAACAUUGAAGAGAUUUCAAGAGAAAUAAAUGACUCAAUGAUCUGACAAAUAAUAUUACUAUGGUUCGAGAGAAAGUAAAAAGUAUCUACUCGGACACUACAGUGGAAGUGUGUUGAAUCAAGAGCAGACAGUAAGCGUCUUUAUUAUGGGCGCUUUAUUUUGUCUCCACUUAUGAAAGGUCAAGCCGACACAAUAGGCAUUGCGAUGCGAAGAGUUUUUGCUUGGAGAAAUAGAAGGAACAUGUAUUACACGCGCAAAAUCUGAAAAAAUUCCACACGAAUAUUCUACCAUAGUGUGGUAUUCCAAGAAUCCGGUACCAUGAAAUUUUAAUGAAUUUGAAAGAUAUUGUAUUGAGAAGUAAUCUUUAUGGAACUUGUGACGCGCUUAUUUGUGUCAAAGGCCCGGGAUAUGUAACUGCUCAAGACAUCCUCUUGCCGCCUUCUGUGGAAAUCGUUGAUAAUACGCCAGCACAUAGCUAGCCUAACAGAACCAAUUGAUUUGUCUAUUGGAUUACAAUCGAGAGGAGUCGAGGAUAUAAUAUAAAAACGCCAAAUACCUUUCAAGACGGAAAUUGUUAUCCUAUCGAUGCUGUAUUCAUGCCUGUUCGAAAUGCGAAUCAUAGUAUUCCUAGUCUUAUGGGAAUGGCAAUGAAAAACAAGAGAUCCUUUUUCUAGAAAUAUGGACAAACGGAAGUUUAACUCCUAAAGAAGCACUUCAUGAAGCCUCCCGGAGUUUGAUUGAUUUAUUUAUUCCCUUUCUCCAGGCAGAAGACGAAAACUUACCUUUAGAGAACAAUCAAUACAAGGUUUACUUUACCCUUUUUUACUUUUCAUGAUAGAUUGGCUAAACUAACGAAAAAGAAAAAAGAAAUCGCAUUGAAAUCGAUUUUUAUUGACCAAUCAGAAAUGUCUCCCAGGAUCUAUAAUUGUCUCAAAAAGUCCAAUAUACAUACAUUAUUCGACCUUUUGAAUACGCGUCAAGAAGACCUUAUGAAAAUUGAACACUUUCGCAUAGAGGAUGUAAAGCAGAUAAUGGAGUAUUCUAGAAAAGAAAUAGAAAAGCAUUUCACAAUUGAUUUACCCGAAAAAAAAAAAAAAACGAGAAAAUUGAAAUGGCUUUGCACCUUUAGACCCGUCUAUAUAUUCAGACCGGAAUUAAAUUGAAUAGAAGUAUCUAGGGAGAAUUCACUUUUACUUUUGAAGUGACUACUCCCUAGAUACACACGUCAUGAUAUUUUACAAUUGAAUCAAUUUAAAAAAGACCUAAAGUUAGGGAUUUUUCAAUAGGUUAAUGUUUGCUCCAAUACCCAAGCACAAGGCCACUGCGGUCCCAAUCAAAAAGACGGUUGUCGCUACGGGACGGCGAAAUGGAUUUUGGAAUUUAUUAACAUUUUCCAAAAAAGGUACUGUUAAUAAUCCCGUAGGUACUGAAACCAUUAAAAGAACACCCAACAGCUUAUUGGGUACUGUACGAAGUAUUUGAAAUACGGGAAAGAAAUACCAUUCGGGUAAGAUUUCCAAAGGAGUUGCAAAUGGAUCCGCGGGUUCACCAAUCAUUGAUGGUUCUAGAACCGCUAAGCCUACGGUACAUGCAAUAGUACCUAGAAUUACUACUGGAAAAAUAUAUAAAAGAUCGUUGGGCCAUGCGGGUUCUCCAUAAUAAUUAUGACCCAUACCCUUAGCCAACUUAGCCCUUAAUACAGGAUCAUUCAAGUCAGGUUUUUUUGUUAUUGGGAUAGGCGAAUUCUUAUAGAUCCAUCCCCAAAGAACCGGNNNNNUUAAUUAAUUAANNNNNUAAAAGAACUUUCAAAAAUAAACUUGAGAGAAAUCGAGAAAUUGAGGGAAACUCAAAAAAAUUCGAUAAUCAGUAAGCAGAUGAUUCACGAACCGUCUAUUGAAAUUUCAUCUAUGGAUUGGGAAAUUAUCCCCGGACUGAAAAAAAAAUGAAAGAUCUGACUAAUAGAACAAGCAGAAUCAGAAAUCAAAUAUAUAAAAUUACAAAAGAAAAGAAAAAGGAUCGCUAACUCAAGAAACAAAUAUUAGUUCGAACAAACCAACGUAUUCUGUUAAAAAUAUUAGACCCAUCAAAAAGGAUUUGGCGGAUAUUAAAAAAAAGAAACGCUCGAUUAAUCCGUAAAUCCUAUUUGUUUCUAAAUUUGGCAUUGAAAAGAUAUACAGAAAUAUUUUUAUAUCUACCCUUACUAUUCCAAGAAUCAAUACAAAACCUUUUCGUGAAUCAACAAGAAAACAAAUGAAAAUUAUUGAGAAAAACAUCCACAAUAAUGAAGCAAAUCCCGAAAGAAUUAAUAAAACAAAUAAAAAUAGAAUUAUUUCGACUAUCCAAAAAUUGAUUUCUAAGACUAGUAAUAAGAAUUCAAAGAUUUCUUGUAAUUUAUUGUCUUUUUCACAAUCACAAGCAUAUGUAUUUUACAAUUAUUACAAGUCCCAAUUUUGAACUUUUAUAAUUUAAGACCCGUUCUUCAAUAUCACGGAACAUCUCUAUUUCUUAAGAAUGAAAUAAAAGAUUUUUUUGAAAAAACACGGAAUCUUUAAUUACCAAUUAAGACAUAAACCCUUUGGAAUUUUGGAAGGAAUACACGAAAACACUGUUUAAGCGGGCAUUAUCAAUAUGAUUUAUCUCGGAUUAAAUGGGCUAGAUUAGUACCACAAGAAUGGCGAAAUAGAGCCAAUCAACACUGUAUGGCUCAAAAUAAAGAUUUAAUUAAAAGAGAUUCGUAUGAAAAAAAUGGAUUAACUCAUUACGAAAAACAACAUUUUUUUGAAGCAGACCUAUUACGUAAUCAAAAAUCGAAUUUUAAAAAAACACUAUAGAUAUGAUCUUUUAUCAUAUAAAUCGCUUAAUUAUGAAGAUAAGAAAGACUCGUAUAUUGAUAGAUCACUAGUCCAAGUAAAUAAUAAAGAAGAGUAUUAUUCUAAUUACAAUAGAAAGAAAGUAAAAUUGUUGGCUAUGCUGGGAAGUAUCUCUAUCAAUAAUUAUAUAGGGGAAGAUGAUAUUAUGGAUAUGGAAAAAUUCGUGUAUAGAAAAUAUUUUUGAUUGGAGAAUUCUUAAUUUUGUCUUAGAAAUAAGGCCAAUAUGGAAGCCUGGGUUGAUAUGGAUACUGGUACCAGCAGUAAUCAAAAUACUAGGAUUGGGUCCAAUAAUUAUCAAAAAAUUAAUGCAAUUAAUACCAGAGUCCCUUUUUAUCUUACAAUUCAUCAAGAUGAAGAAAUUAACCCAUCCACUCAAAAGGGGUUCUUUUGUGAUUGGAUGGGAAUGAAUGAAGAAAUACUAAGUUGUCCUAUAUCAAACCCAGAAUCUUGGUUCUUCCCAGAAUUUGUACUACUUUUUAAUGCAUAUAGAACGAAACCCUGGAUUAUACCAAUCAAAUUACUUCUUUUCAAUUUUAAUGGAAAUAGUAAGAAAAAUAGAACCGGAAAGAAAGAGGCGGAUCUUUUUAUAUCACCUACUCAAAAAGAAUAUUUUGAAUUAUCGAAUCAAAGUAAAGAAGAAAACGAACUCGCAGACCAAGGAACUCCGAGAUCGGAUGCACAAAAGCAAGUAAUUCUUGGAUCAGUUCUCUCAAACCAAGAAAAAGAUGGUGAAGAAAAUUAUACGGGAUCGGACAUGAAAACCCGUAUAAAGAAAAAGCAAUCCAAAAGAGAAACCGAAGUACAGCUCGAUUUCUUCCUAAAAAGAUAUUUGUGUUUGCAGUUGCGAUGGAGGGGGGCUGUUUCUUUCAGAGAAAAAAUACUCAAUGAUAUGCAAGUAUAUUGUCACCUGGUUCGACUAAUAAAUCCUAGCGACGUUGCUAUAGCCUCUAUUCAAAGGGGAGAAAUGAGUCUGCCUAUUUUGAUCACUAAGAAGAAGUUCGCUCUUAAAGAAUUGACGAAAGGGGGAAUGCUUAUUAUCGAACCCGUCGUUUGUCUGUAAAAAAUGAUGGACAAUUUUUUCUAUAUCAAAUCGUAGGUAUUGCAUUGGUUCAUAAGAAUAAGCGCAAAAUUACUAAAAGAUACCAAGAAAAGGGCUAUGUUGAUAAAAAAGAUUUUGAUGAAUUCAUUGCAAAACAUCAAAAAAUGACUGGAAAUAGAAACAAAAAUCAUUAUGAUUUGCUUGUUCCUGAAACUAUUUUACUCCCUAAACGUCGUAGAGAAUUAAGAACCCUAAUUUGUUUCAAUUCGAAGAAUCAAAAUGGUAUGCAGAAAAAUCCAGUAUUUUUUAAUAACGGAAAGGGCGGCGGCCGCGUUUUGGAUAAAAACAAAAAUCUUGCUCGAGAGAAAAAUCAACUAAUUCAAUUAAAGUUCUUUAUUUGGGCCAAUUCUCGAUUAGAAGAUUUAAUUUGUAUGAAUCGGUAUUGGUUUAAUACCAAUAAUGGGAGUCGUUUCAGUAUGGUAAGGGUCCAUAUGUAUCCACGAUUGAAAAUUCGUUAAUAGUGUGCUUUUCCUAUCUAUCAUGUCCCAUUUUGGGAUAUGAAAACAAAGAAAUGUAUACAUGUCUUGUCUUCCAUUCCAGUCUGAUACAAGAUACCAAAUUAAUGGCGAACAUUUUAAUUAGAUCCAUAAAUGAAUCAAGAAACUCUUUUUUUUAGGUCCAAAUUUUUCUCUUUUGCCGAAAUAUCCAUCCUUUUAGAUGCCUAAUCAAAUUGAAAAUUGGAUUGAUUAUUGAUAUUGAUUUUCUAGCAAGUUCAUAACGAACUUAAGAUUAUUGUGUAUAUCAAAUUGAAGUAACUAGUAUUAUUAUUACUGAUCAGUAAAAUUCAUCUUAAAAAAGGAAGGGGGGGGUUUCGUUUUAUGGUAAAAAAUGCAUUCAUCUCAGUUAGGGUUCAAGAAAAAAAAGAAAAAAACAGCGGAUCGGUUGAAUUUCAAGUAUUCGUUUCACCAACACGAUCCGGAGACUUACUUCACAUUUAGAAUUGCACAGAAAAGACUAUUCAUCUCAAAGGGGUCUACGUAAAAUUUUGGAAAAACGCCAACGUCUACUAGCUUAUUUGUCAAAGAAAAAUAGAGUACGUUAUAAAAUUAAUUAGUAAGUUGAAUAUCCGGGAGUCAAAAAAUCGUUAAUUUGAAAUUUGAAAAACAAUUUCGAAUUAUUUGAUUUUGACUGUUGAUGAACUUCUUGUUGUUUUCAACAAUUCAUGUAAGAAUGAAUCGAGGAAAAACCUAUGAGUAUACUAGCUACAGAAAAAGAAAAAGAAUUUAUGAUAGUCAAUAUGGGACCUCACCACCCGUCAAUGCAUGGGGUUCUUCGUCUCAUCGUUACUCUAGACGGUGAAGAUGUUAUUGACUGUGAACCAAUAUUGGGUUAUUUACACAGAGGGAUGGAAAAAAUUGCGGAAAACCGAACAAUUAUACAAUAUCUGCCUUAUGUAACCCGUUGGGAUUAUUUAGCUACUAUGUUCACAGAAGCAAUAACUGUAAAUGGACCAGAACAGUUGGGAAAUAUUCGCGUACCUAAAAGGGCCAGCUAUAUCAGAGUAAUUAUGUUGGAGUUGAGUCGUAUAGCUUCCCAUCUGUUAUGGCUUGGCCCUUUUAUGGCAGAUAUUGGUGCAGCAGACUCUUUCUUCUAUAUUUUCAGAGAAAGAGAAUUAGUAUAUGAUCUGUUCGAAGCUGCCACCGGUAUGAGAAUGAUGCAUAAUUAUUUUCGUAAUCGGAGGAGUAGCAGCUGAUUUUACCCUAUGGUUGGAUAGAUAAAUGUUUGGAUUUCUGCGAUUAUUUUUUUAACAGGGGUUGCUGAAUAUCAAAACUUAUUACGCGAAACCCCAUUUUUUUAGAACGAGGUUGAAGGAGUAGCAUUAUUGGUGGAGAAGAAGCAAUAAAUUGGGGUUUAUCAGGACCAAUGCUACGAGCGUCUGGAAUAGAAUGGGAUCUUCGUAAAGUUGAUCAUUAUGAGUGUUAUGACGAAUUUGAUUGGGAAGUCCAGUGGCAAAAGGGGAUUCCUUAGCUCGUUAUUUAGUCCGAAUCGGUGAAAUGACGGAAUCUGUAAAAAUUAUUCAACAGGCUUUAGAAGGAAUUCCGGGAGGCCCCUAUGAAAAUUUAGAAAUCCGCUGCUUUGAUAGAGAAAGCGAUCCAGAACGGAAUGAUUUUGAAAAUAGAUUCAUUAGUAAAAAGCCUUCUCCUACCUUUGAAUUGACAAAACAAGAACUUUAUGCGAGAGUAGAAGCCCCAAAAGGAGAAUUGGGAAUUUUUCUGAUAGGGGAUCAAAGUGGGUUUCCUUGGAGAUGGAAAAUUCGCCACCGGGUUUUAUCAAUUUGCAAAUUCUUCCUCAGUUAGUUAAAAGAAUGAAAUUGGCUGAUAUUAUGACGAUAUUAGGUAGUAUAGAUAUCAUUAUGGGGGAAGUUGAUCGUUGAAAUGAUAAUUGCUACACCGAAGUACAAGAUAUCAAUUCUUUUUUCCCGAUUGGAAUCCCUACAAGAGGUCUAUGGGAUCCUAUGGGUGCUUGCCCCUAUUUCGAUUUAUGUAUUGGCAAUCACAAUCGGUGUCCUAGUAAUUGUGUGGUUAGAAAGAGAAAUAUCUGCAGGGAAUACAACAGCGUAUUGGGCCUGAAUACGCCAGCCCUUUGGGAAUUCUUCAAGCUUUAGCCGAUGGGACAAAACUCCUUUUCAAAGAAAACCUUCUUCCAUCUAGAGGAAAUAGUAGUUUAUUCAGUAUUGGUCCAUCUAUAGCAGUCAUAGCAAUUCUACUAAGUUAUUCAGUAAUUCCUUUUAGUUAUAACCUUGUUUUAGCUGACCUCAAUAUCGUAUUUUUUUAUGGAUUGCCAUUUCAAGUAUUGCCCCUAUUGGACUUCUUAUGUCAGGAUAUGGAUCAAAUAAUAAAUAUUCCUUUUUAGGUGGUCUGCGAGCUGCUGCUCAAUCGAUUAGUUAUGAAAUACCAUUAACUUUAUGUGUUUUAUCAUAUCUCUACGUGUGAUUCGCUAAAACCUAAGCUUUUCGUUCUAGAAAAAAAAGAACUUGAAUAGAAAUCCUCAUUUUUUUAUUCAUUUAUUGACUCUUUAGGUUUAAUAAAAGAAUUAGAUAGUUAUAUAUGAGUGAAAGAAAACACCUUCGAAAUUCGCAGUAAACGUAGAUUAAGUCUCAUUUCCUAUGUACAAGCGUUAAGGAUAAGUAAACAAAAGUAAAAGUGGAGGAAGCCCUUACCCCAAGACAGGUCGAUUGAUCAUCCUAGCUUGAAGCGGGCUUAAAAGACCAACCCUUAUAGAAUUUUCAUUUUUCAUUAGCUAUUGUAUGUAUUACAAUAUAUAUUAGAUAUAUUAGGGGGGUUGAAUAGGGGGUUGAAAACGCAAAGCGGGGGGGAUAGGAAGGAACACCAAAAUACACACAACGGGUUAGUAAUGUAGAUUAUGUCAAUUAUCUAAAAGGAUACUUCUGCAUAACAUAAAAGAAUACUAAUUGGGGCUUUAAGUUGGUAGAAACGAUCAGGCAGUACUCCCCACAAUUCCGAUCCAGAGCAUGGCUCCUAUCCGCCAGUUAAAGAAAUAACUAUCAGGAACGAAAUAAUCCUUUACCCCUUUUAAGCCCCAUUUUAUCUCAGAAAAGAAGAAGAGGAACAAAAAAAUAGAAAAAAUACAAUUACAAUCUAAAAGAAUCCUUUCUUUCCAUAAUAUUGAUAGAAAUUAAAUUCGGUGUCAUGAUUCAUGAACUAGUGUAAUGGCGAAUUCUUUUCGUAAUCGAAAAUAAAAGGAUGGGUUGAAAUAUCGAGUGAUAUUUCUACAAGAGUAUUUUAUUGAAGGGUUGAUUAAGUUAUUACUCAACACAGAAAAUUUGAAAUUCGUAAGGAUGAGAUUAAUUCAGAAAUACUGUUUUUUUAUCCUUAGAGCAGACAGAAUUCCAGUGGUAACAUUACGGUUUCCAUCGCUAUUAAAAAAAAACCGUACAUGAGAUUUUCACCUCAUACGCUCCUCAGGGCCAAAUAAAUGUAAGGACCGGACCGGUAUUAGUUAUUUUGAUUUUUAUAUGGUUAUAGGAUGGGAUAAAGUCAAAAUCUAGCGGAGGAUCCCCAAUUAUACCACUGGAAUUCUGUCUGCUCUAAGGAUAAAAAAACAGUAUUUCUGAAUUAAUCUAUCCUUUACGAAUUUCAAAUUUUCUGUGUUGAGUAAUAACUUAAUCAACCCUUCAAUAAAAUACUCUUGUAGAAAUAUCACUCGAUAUUUCAAACCCAUCCUUUUAUUUUCGAUUACGAAAAGAAUUCGCCAUUACACUAGUUCAUGAAUCAUGACACGAAUUUAAUUUCUAUCAAUAUAUGAAAGAAAGGAUUCUUUUAGAUUGUAAUUGUAUUUUUUCUAUUUUUUUGUUCCUCUUCUUCUUUCUGAGAUAAAAUGGGGCUUAAAAGGGGGUAAAGGAUUAUUUCGUUCCUGAUAGUUUAUUUCUUUAACUGGCGGAUAGGAGCAUGCUCUGGAUCGGAAUUGUGGGGAGUACUGCCUGAUCGUUUCUACCAACUUAAAGCCCCAAUUAGUAUUCUUUUAUGUUAUGCAGAAGUAUCCUUUUAGAUAAUUGACAUAAUCUACAUUACUAACCCGUUGUGUGGUAUUUUGGUGUUCCUUCCUAUCCCCCCGCUUUGCGUUUUCAACCCCCCUAUUCAACCCCCCUAAUAUAUCUAAUAUAUAUUGUAAUACAUACAAUAGCUAAUGAAAAAUGAAAAUUCUAUAGGGUUGGUCUUUUAAGCCCGCUUCAAGCUAGGAUGAUCAAUCGACCUGUCUUGGGGUAAGGGCUUCCUCCACUUUUACUUUUUGUUUACUUAUCCUUAACGCUUGUACAUAGGAAAUGAGACUUAAUCUACGUUUACUGGCGAAUUUCGAAGGUGUUUUCUUUCACUCAUAUAUAACUAUCUAAUUUCUUUUAUUAACCUAAAGAGUCAAUAAAUGAAUAAAAAAAUGAGGGAUUUCUAUUCAAGUUCUUUUUUUUCUAGAACGAAAAAGCUUAGGUUUUAGCGAAUCACACGUAGAGAUAUUGAUAAAACACAUAAAGUUAAUGGUAUUUUCAUAACUAAUCGAUUGAGCAGCAGCUCGCAGACCACCUAAAAAGGAAUAUUUAUUAUUUGAUCCAUAUCCUGACAUAAGAAGUCCAAUAGGGGCAAUACUUGAAAUGGCAAUCCAUAAAAAAAUACCGAUAUUGAGGUCAGCUAAACAAGGUUAUAACUAAAAGGAAUUACUGAAUAACUUAGUAGAAUUGCUAUGACUGCUAUAGAUGGACCAAUACUGAAUAAACUACUAUUUCCUCUAGAUGGAAGAAGGUUUUCUUUGAAAAGGAGUUUUGUUCCCAUCGGCUAAAGCUUGAAGAAUUCCCAAAGGGCUGGCGUAUUCAGGCCCAAUACGCUGUUGUAUUCCUGCAGAUAUUUCUCUUUCUAACCACACAAUUACUAGGACACGAUUGUGAUUGCCAAUACAUAAAUCGAAAUAGGGGCAAGCACCCAUAGGAUCCCAUAGACCUCUUGUAGGGAUUCCAAUCGGGAAAAAGAAUUGAUAUCUUGUACUUCGGGUGUAGCAAUUAUCAUUUCAACGAUCAACUUCCCCAUAAUGAUAUCUAUACUACCUAAUAUCGUCAUAAUAUCAGCCAAUUUCAUUCUUUUAACUAACUGAGGAAGAAUUUGCAAAUUGAUAAAACCCGGUGGGCGAAUUUUCCAUCUCCAAGGAAACCCACUUUGAUCCCCUAUCAGAAAAAUUCCCAAUUCUCCUUCUACUCUCGCAUAAAGUUCUUGUUUUGUCAAUUCAAAGGUAGGAGAAGGCUUUUUACUAAUGAAUCUAUUUUCAAAAUCAUUCCGUUCUGGAUCGCUUUCUCUAUCAAAGCAGCGGAUUUCUAAAUUUUCAUAGGGGCCUCCGGAAUUCCUUCUAAAGCCUGUUGAAUAAUUUUUACAGAUUCCGUCAUUUCACCGAUUCGGACUAAAUAACGAGCUAAGGAAUCCCCUUCUUUUUGCCACUGGACUUCCCAAUCAAAUUCGUCAUAACACUCAUAAUGAUCAACUUUACGAAGAUCCCAUUCUAUUCCAGACGCUCGUAGCAUUGGUCCUGAUAAACCCCAAUUUAUUGCUUCUUCUCCACCAAUAAUGCCUACUCCUUCAACUCGUUCUAAAAAAAUGGGGUUUCGCGUAAUAAGUUUUUGAUAUUCAGCAACCCCUGUUAAAAAAUAAUCGCAGAAAUCCAAACAUUUAUCUAUCCAACCAUAGGGUAAAUCAGCUGCUACUCCUCCGAUACGAAAAUAAUUAUGCAUCAUUCUCAUACCGGUGGCAGCUUCGAACAGAUCAUAUACUAAUUCUCUUUCUCUGAAAAUAUAGAAGAAAGGAGUCUGUGCACCAAUAUCUGCCAUAAAAGGGCCAAGCCAUAACAGAUGGGAAGCUAUACGACUCAACUCCAACAUAAUUACUCUGAUAUAGCUGGCCCUUUUAGGUACGCGAAUAUUUCCCAACUGUUCUGGUCCAUUUACAGUUAUUGCUUCUGUGAACAUAGUAGCUAAAUAAUCCCAACGGGUUACAUAAGGCAGAUAUUGUAUAAUUGUUCGGUUUUCCGCAAUUUUUUCCAUCCCUCUGUGUAAAUAACCCAAUAUUGUUUCACAGUCAAUAACAUCUUCACCGUCUAGUAACGAUGAGACGAAGAACCCCAUGCAUUGACGGGUGGUGAGGUCCCAUAUUGACUAUCAUAAAUUCUUUUUCUUUUUCUGUAGCUAGUAUACUCAUAGGUUUUUCCUCGAUUCAUUCUUACAUGAAUUGUUGAAAACAACAAGAAGUUCAUCAACAGUCAAAAUCAAAUAAUUCGAAAUUGUUUUUCAAAUUUCAAAUUAACGAUUUUUUGACUCCCGGAUAUUCAACUUACUAAUUAAUUCUUUAUAACGUACUCUAUUUUUCUUUGACAAAUAAGCUAGUAGACGUUGGCGUUUUUCCAAAAUUUUACGUAGACCCCUUUGAGAUGAAUAGUCUUUUCUGUGCAAUUCUAAAUGUGAAGUAAGUCUCCGGAUCGUGUUGGUGAAACGAAAUACUUGAAAUUCAACCGAUCCGCUGUUUUUUUCUUUUUUUUCUUGAACCCUAACUGAGAUGAAUGCAUUUUUUACCAUAAAACGAAACCCUCCCCUUCCUUUUUUAAGAUGAAUUUUUACUGAUCAGUAAUAAUAAUACUAGUUACUUCAAUUUGAUAUACACAAUAAUCUUAAGUUCGUUAUGAACUUGCUAGAAAAUCAAUAUCAAUAAUCAAUCCAAUUUUCAAUUUGAUUAGGCAUCUAAAGGAUGGAUAUUUCGGCAAAAGAGAAAAAUUUGGACCUAAAAAAAAGAGUUUCUUGAUUCAUUUAUGGAUCUAAUUAAAAUGUUCGCAUUAAUUUGGUAUCUUGUAUCAGACUGGAAUGGAAGACAAGACAUGUAUACAUUUCUUUGUUUUCAUAUCCCAAAAUGGACAUGAUAGAUAGGAAAAGCACACUAUUAACGAAUUUUCAAUCGUGGAUACAUAUGGACCUUACCAUACUGAAACGACUCCAUUAUUGGUAUUAAACCAAUACCGAUUCAUACAAAUUAAAUCUUCUAAUCGAGAAUUGGCCCAAAUAAAGAACUUUAAUUGAAUUAGUUGAUUUUUCUCUCGGCAAGAUUUUUGUUUUUAUCCAAAACGCGGCCGCCGCCCUUUCCGUUAUUAAAAAUACUGGAUUUUUCUGCAUACCAUUUUGAUUCUUCGAAUUGAAACAAAUUAGGGUUCUUAAUUCUCUACGACGUUUAGGGAGUAAAAUAGUUUCAGGAACAAGCAAAUCAUAAUGAUUUUUGUUUCUAUUUCAGUCAUUUUUUGAUGUUUUGCAAUGAAUUCAUCAAAAUCUUUUUAUCACAUAGCCCUUUCUUGGUAUCUUUUAGUAAUUUUGCGCUUAUUCUUAUGAACCAAUGCAAUACUACGAUUUGAUAUAGAAAAAAUUGUCAUCAUUUUUUACAGACAAACGACGGGGUUCGAUAAUAAGCAUUCCCCUUUCGUCAAUUCUUUAAGAGCGAACUUCUUCUUAGUGAUCAAAAUAGGCAGACUCAUUUCUCCCUUUGAAUAGAGGCUAUAGCAACGUCGCUAGGAUUUAUUAGUCGAACCAGGUGACAAUAUACUUGCAUAUCAUUGAGUAUUUUUUCUCUGAAAGAAACAGCCCCCCUCCAUCGCAACUGCAAACACAAAUAUCUUUUUAGGAAGAAAUCGAGCUGUACUUCGGUUUCUCUUUUGGAUUGCUUUUUCUUUAUACGGGUUUUCAUGUCCGAUCCCGUAUAAUUUUCUUCACCAUCUUUUUCUUGGUUUGAGAGAACUGAUCAAGAAUUACUUGCUUUUGUGCAUCCGAUCUCGGAGUUCCUUGGUCUGCGAGUUCGUUUUCUUCUUUACUUUGAUUCGAUAAUUCAAAAUAUUCUUUUUGAGUAGGUGAUAUAAAAAGAUCCGCCUCUUUCUUUCCGGUUCUAUUUUUCUUACUAUUUCCAUUUAAAAUUGAAAAGAAGUAAUUUGAUUGGUAUAAUCCAGGGUUUCGUUCUAUAUGCAUUAAAAAGUAGUACAAAUUCUGGGAAGAACCAAGAUUCUGGGUUUGAUAUAGGACAACUUAGUAUUUCUUCAUUCAUUCCCAUCCAAUCACAAAAGAACCCCUUUUGAGUGGAUGGGUUAAUUUCUUCAUCUUGAUGAAUUGUAAGAUAAAAGGGGACUCUGGUAUUAAUUGCAUUAAUUUUUUGAUAAUUAUUGGACCCAAUCCUAGUAUUUUGAUUACUGCUGGUACCAGUAUCCAUAUCAACCCAGGCUUCCAUAUUGGCCUUAUUUCUAAGACAAAAAUUAAGAAUUCUCCAAUCAAAAUAUUUUCUAUACACGAAUUUUUCCAUAUCCAUAAUAUCAUCUUCCCCUAUAUAAUUAUUGAUAGAGAUACUUCCCAGCAUAGCCAACAAUUUUACUUUCUUUCUAUUGUAAUUAGAAUAAUACUCUUCUUUAUUAUUUACUUGGACUAGUGAUCUAUCAAUAUACGAGUCUUUCUUAUCUUCAUAAUUAAGCGAUUUAUAUGAUAAAAGAUCAUAUCUAUAGUGUUUUUUAAAAUUCGAUUUUUGAUUACGUAAUAGGUCUGCUUCAAAAAAUGUUGUUUUUCGUAAUGAGUUAAUCCAUUUUUUUCAUACGAAUCUCUUUUAAUUAAAUCUUUAUUUUGAGCCAUACAGUGUUGAUUGGCUCUAUUUCGCCAUUCUUGUGGUACUAAUCUAGCCCAUUUAAUCCGAGAUAAAUCAUAUUGAUAAUGCCCGCUUAAACAGUGUUUUCGUGUAUUCCUUCCAAAAUUCCAAAGGGGUUUAUGUCUUAAUUGGUAAUUAAAGAUUCCGUGUUUUUCAAAAAAAUCUUUUAUUUCAUUCUUAAGAAAUAGAGAUGUUCCGUGAUAUUGAAGAACGGGUCUUAAAUUAUAAAAGUUCAAAAUUGGGACUUGUAAUAAUUUGUAAAAUACAUAUGCUUGUGAUUGUGAAAAAGACAAUAAAUUACAAGAAAUCUUUGAAUUCUUAUUACUAGUCUUAGAAAUCAAUUUUUGGAUAGUCGAAAUAAUUCUAUUUUUAUUUGUUUUAUUAAUUCUUUCGGGAUUUGCUUCAUUAUUGUGGAUGUUUUUCUCAAUAAUUUUCAUUUGUUUUCUUGUUGAUUCACGAAAAGGUUUUGUAUUGAUUCUUGGAAUAGUAAGGGUAGAUAUAAAAUAUUUCUGUAUAUCUUUUCAAUGCCAAAUUUUAGAAACAAAUAGGAUUUACGGAUUAAUCGAGCGUUUCUUUUUUUUAAUAUCCGCCAAAUCCUUUUUGAUGGGUCUAAUAUUUUAACAAAUACGUUGGUUUGUUCGAACUAAUAUUUGUUUCUUGAGUUAGCGAUCCUUUUUUCUUUUCUUUUGUAAUUUUAUAUAUUUGAUUUCUGAUUCUGCUUGUUCUAUUAGUCAGAUCUUUCAUUUUUUUUUCAGUCCGGGAUAAUUUCGUCCAAUCCAUAGAUGAAAUUUCAAUAGACGGUUCGUGAAUCAUCUGCUUACUGAUUAUCGAAUUUUUUUGAGUUUCCCUCAAUUUCUCGAUUUCUCUCAAGUUUAUUUUUGAAAGUUCUUUUAUUUUGCCUUCUUUAAAAUCCCUUAAAACUAUAAAAGACUUAGUUUUCAAUUUUCGAAUUUUUUUUUUUAGUUCUUUAAAAAUGGGUUCAAAAAGGAACGUCGUUUUUGGGGAGAACCGAACGGCAUGUCAGUUUCCAGCCCAAAAAUUGUUAAAAACAAACAUCAGUUUCUUGUUCACUUUUUGGAUCUUUAUGAGAGGAUUGUAUCGUAGAUCCGUGCCAGGGUUUCAGGUGAAAGGGGAAUAGGAUCUUUAUCUGAAUACCUUCUAUUAACCAGUUUUUCGGAAANNNNNUUAAUUAAUUAANNNNNUUUUAACUCACAAUUUUUAUACAUGUCAUGAGUACCUCCAUGAGAAUGAUCCUUUUCAAACAUCUUAGAGAACUUUUACAUGUAAAAUUUCACUGGAGAAGUUUGCUCCAAAUUUGUAAAUCACAUCCUAUUUUGAGAUCUACAACCACCAGAGCUAGUAUCCCACAUUGAAGAUUUAGAAAGACAACUCAGAGAAAUAGAGGAUGGUAUUUAUAAACUCCAAUUGGAACUUCAGGUAAAUUCGAUAAAAGGCGAAGGUGAGUUACAUGUUUGUGUAUAUUCAUUGUUUUUUUUUUUCCUUUGUUCUUCUUCUUCACUUUUGAUUUGAUUCCACAGAUUUGAUUCAUUUCUUUGAUUUGUUUUGAUUCACUCUCCUGUAUAAAUGGUGGAUAACGGUACUCUAUGAUGUUUUAAGUCGGUAUUUUCAGUUUCCCACAAUAAUUGAACCCCAAAAUCAAGCAUGGAAGAAAUAUAACAUAAACUACAUAAGCAUUUUCAUUCUCUCCCUCAAAAUGCUCUUAAAAAAAAUAUACAAAACUCGCUGUGAACGACUGCGUUUGUUAAUGAUCAAUAGGAUUCCUACUGACAUUCGUUGGUUAAUUAAAGUAAAGGUCGACUGGCAGGUGAGUUUUCUGAUCCAUUUGUUUCCUACAUGCCUGGUUUUGGUAAAAGUACAUUUGCUAAAAAAAGGAAGAGCUAAGCGGCUUGGCUCUAAAUGUCCUAACUGUGUAACACUUGCUUGCAAAAACCACGUUGUAAAACAUUAGGAGUGGUUUUCUGUGAAUCGUGAAGAUAAAAUCAAAUUCAUUAAGGAUGGCAUGAGUAAAAAAUCGUUGGAUGAUAUCUUACGAUCUAUUGAGACGCAUCCAAGCGGAUUUGUUCAACAUGAAAUUCAUAAUUUGUGGAAGCUGUUCCAAAAGAAAAGUGCACAGUUUAGUCUUGGGAAUCUGACUCUAAAAUACCAUGUUUGCCAGUUUAUAAGAAAACUGGAUGAGAAGCCUAUCUUCAACCCAUAGAUGGCGUUCAAGUCGUUACUGGACGUAAAACCAGAGGAAGAUCUGAUCCAUAAUCACAACUACCAAUAAAUAUCCUUUAUUUUACUGUUCUUUUUCUUUUACAUUAUUUUUUAUUAUUAUUGUGUGUUUUUUAUGUCUAAUCAUUGUUUAUUUUUUCUGUUUACUUUUGAAUUAUUGAGUCAAAAGCUUCACGCGUCAUUUGACAAACACACUACCCCAUCUAUAGAUGCGUAUCAUUGUGUCUGUCACCAAGAUCCUUAAAUAGGAGCUCCUUUUCAAGCACUCACAAACUGUUUCUUUUUAGACUUGUUCUAAUGGCAGCAAUUUCAAAGCAGAACUUAAGAACAUUUCUAUGCUUUCUGGAUUUGGCUAUAGAAAGUAUAAGAAGUUCGUUCAAGCAGCCAUAGAUCUUGUUCGUGCUAUACCAAGAGACAACUACAUCUUGUAUAUGGAGAAGGUGACCGAGUUAUCAAAGUUUGUCUCUGAAGUUGCUUUCGUUCGAGGAAGCCAAGUGCUAGGUAUUAUUACAAAUGCCUUAAAACCUUUAGGAUGUCUACUAAACCCACAAACUAGAAAAGAGUUAGUUGUCUCAGGUAUACAAGAAAGAAUAUCCGAAUGUUAAAUCAUGCUAACGCUUUCAUUUUCUUGCCAAGAGAUCUUGCAACUUUAGAGGCGCUAAUUACAUUUGCUUCUUGGGCCCAUUUGAACAUCCAUAAAAAAACUCAUCGGUUUGUUAAUGUUAAUAACUUUUAUGAUGACUUAAUAGCAUUUCUUAAUCAUGCAAUUAAAAAUUAUUUCAUUCCACCCUCAAUGAAAAAACUCCUUAUUUGUGCUCCUACUGCUAACGAGUUACUUAAUCUUUUGCAAGCUUACAACCAAAGCCAGAUCUCAUGACUUUGGCAUUGGAUUAGGUAACUAAUGAUGAUGGCAAUAACUUUUGUGAAGUGUAAAUUAGAUUUAACUCUCUGUUUGUAAAUAUUUUCUAGCAAUAGCCAGGUAAUAUCUUCUAAACUCUACUAUUUUCUUCUAAGACAUUGAGGACAAUGUCUCUUUCAAGUUGGGGGGAAGAAUAGUUGACAGUUGCGGAAUGUCUCAGUCCCGGUGAUGUUUUUACUAAUUUUUGUUGUAAAGACUAACUUUUGGAUAAAAAUUGAGUCGAAGAUGGCUGAAUAUAGAAUGUAAUGUCUCUAGAAAUGUAUCUUCUUAAUUUUUUAAUAUUUUGCUUCUUAAAAAAAAAAUUAUCUUUUAACUUCUUUUUCUUUCUUUUUGUCUUUUUCUCUUAAUCAUCUCCCUUAAGUUUCUGCAAUCAAUCCCAAUUUUUUUAGUGUUUUCUUUAACUUAAAAAAAAAAAAAGAGUUUCUUUUUCGGUGUGAUCUUUUAACAUUGGAUAACAUGAUGAUUUUCAAAUUUUGGUAUUUGUAUUAUCUUUGGUCUUGAGUUAUGUUACACUAUGUUUUCCCCUUUGCAUGUUGAAGCGUAAAUUGAGAAAUUUGAUGAGGAAAAUUGAUUAAGCCAUUUGGAGGAAUGUACAUGUUAUGAAAAGUUCAAGCGGGAUUUUGAGCCUAUUAUCCUUGGAGAUAACCUUGUUCACCUAUACAGCAUCACAAUUUAUUAGACAAGAUCUCUAUAUUUUCUUUAAAAAAGAAUUGGAGCCAUCUAGAAGUCCCUUGAACUAGUGGAUAUGAAAGAUUAUUUAGAGUUCUAAAAGAUGACAGAAGGUCAUCUUUGAUCCGUUUGAGCCUUUCUAGAAACCCUUUAAUAAAGUAUCCAUAGUUAACCCCUUGAGCCUAUAUAUUAAAAAAAAGAAAAAAAACUUUUCUUUGGUAACCUAUUAUCUUGUCUCAUUCCAAUGGGGAAUAUCACCUUAUGUUUUAUGUUUUUCACCACCAAAUUAUAUUUAACUACAGACUACUCUCCUGCCAAAGCUGAACUGGAUAAUGGUAAUAUAUAUAUAUAUAUAUAUAUAUAUAUAUAUAUAUACAAAAAAAGAAAGGAAAAAAAGAAAGAAAAAAAAAAUCCAAGAAAAAAAAGCACCUUGUAAUCUAAAAAAAAAGUCCCCUAUUUUCAAACAUAUAUUUUUGUUUUUCUAUUACCCUUUUUGUUAGCCAUGAUCCUAGCCUACGUUACGUCCUAAUGAAAGUCCUUGAUUUUAGGAACUAUAGUCUGAAGUAAAAGCUAGUUAUAUGGACUAAAAGUGUGGUGAUACAUAAAAUUAAAAAUAAAGUAAUUUAGCUAAUAAUUCCCCUGAGUUGAGAUCAUUUUAUUUAUAAGCUAUGGGCGUUAUUCUUCAUCUUGGUGAGAGCGUGUGAUAUUGUUUUACUAUUCUCUCAAUCUACCACUUUUCAGAGUGACAAUUUAAUUUGGGGUAUAUUUUCUUUUGAGAGGUCACUCUUAAUCGUGAGGUUUUGAGGUUUGAUGUAUCAUUUUUAAAAGUAGCUUGAUUAAUGCAGCUCUGAUAAUUAAUCAUUUUACAUUAUUUUACUUAAUUGUUUUGUGCGGGUUUGAUUUUCUUUAGGCUGAAGAUAAUGCUUAUACUUUUAUUUGAUUGUUGUCAUUAAUCUGAUGAAAGAAGUAAACACAAUCUUUCCAAAAAAAAAAAUCAAUUUGGGUUUGAACUUUCGCUAAAUUUAUCGCUUAAAUUGCUAGGGCUUAGCAAUAAGCUGGUUGGGGAGUUGACUACCACUAAAAAGUGUACGUGUAAUAAGGAUAAAAUUAUUAGUUUUUCACUAAAAGUGUUGAUUAAUGCGCUCAUAACUUAUAAAUUAUAUGAAUUCUCCCCAAAUAAUUUUUUUAAAAAUUAAAUCGCAAUAUGUUAAUUUUUAUCUUGUAAAUAUUUUUCAGGAAUAAAGAUAGAAUUGGAAUUGAAAGCUAGAACAAAGAAGAACUGUUGGAGCAAUUUCGAAUGCAUUAUUGAGGAGAUGUAAUUAACAAAUAUUAAAUAAAAAUAAAUAAAAAAAUAAUAAAAAUAAUAAAAAAGAAGAAUGGACAACCAUGCUCGUGAUGGUCAGGUGGCCAUCUUGCCAACUAACCAUUACACCUUUCAAAGUACAUAUAAUAUAAAAUAAUAACAAAAAAAGAGAUGCACCCCUUCCCUUUUAUAGGCAAAGGGAUGCAAGUGGAAGGGGCAGAGCGAGACGUGAGACGAAAGAGCGAAGCUGAGGAAUUAAUUUUUUUUCUUCUUUUGUUGUGUAAUCAACUUACUUAUAAUAUAUUUCAAAAGUUUGUCAAAUAAAAAGAGUGUUUUUUUUCUUUUAAUAUGAGUGUCUAUUUUUACUAAGCUGAGGUGAAGGAUGAAGUUUAAGGUUUUAAAUUAUAAAAUUAAUUACUUUCUCAAGUAAGUUUUAAGUUCAUUCUUUUCUGGUUAUUUUUAUGUCAUGUUAAUUUAUGGAUUUCCUUAGAUUUGUAUGGUAUUUUGACAUAAUGUCAACUCGUUAAUGUAGUUGUGGCACAUUAGGUAGUUGAUUCCAUAUUUAUCCACACACAUAAUUGAAAUGCAAGUAACGCAACCAAGAGGGGGGUGAAUUGGGUUUUUUUUUUUAAAUAAUGCAAUACGAUUCGUACAAUAAAUCAAUCUAACGCCUUAAUGAAAUAGAGAACAAUAAAUUCAAACAAGCGUAAAAAUAAAAGAGCAAGGGAAGAGAAAAAUAAACACGCGGAUUUUUAUGUGGUUCGGCAAUCCCCGCCUACAUCCACGCCUCCAAGCCAACCAAGCUUGAGGAUUUCACUAUCCAAGCCUCCCAAGGCUUCAAGUUUUUACAAUUGACUUCCAAGGUGUCAAUGAACCUUUACAACCAAGAGAUUAUCUCCCCAAUCUCUUCACCCCAAGUGUUUCCCACACUUACACACUCACAAUUUGAUAAGAAAUGAAAAUUACAACAAAAACUCUCUUUAAGAGUGGAUAUGCAACUAAUAGCUCAAUAAUGAUUCAAUCAAUGAUGAUUUGCGUUUUGGAAGCUCAAUAUAUGUUGUAUGAUCUUAUAUUUGCUUGCAUUAGUCCUUAGAAUGAAGUUUGACUUGAGUUUUAUAGUGAAAGCCCAAAAACUAGCCGUUAUAGGUAAAUUUCCGCGCCCAAGUGGUUAGCCGCUUGAUUAUCCGGCUAUCCGCUCAGGAACAGUGAUAUUACCGUUGUUUUUGAAAUUUGCUACAGUAUCACUGUUCACUAAAAUUACACUUUGGCCCAAAACUUUCUAUAAUUAUACUAUAGCCCAAAACGUCAUAAAACUUUUUAAAUAGGUCCAAUUUCAGAACUUCCUAAAAAUAAUUGUCUUUCCCAAACUUUUUGAAAUUAUGAUAUGACCCCAAAAAUUUUAUUAUUUCGCACAAAGGUCCUUUUCAACAUAAUACCCAUAUUUUUCAAAGUUCUCAAAACUUUUCACUUUAGUCCAAAAUAUUCAUAAAUUAUAGUAUGGCCCAAAACAUUUCAAAUGUUUGUAAAAAUGUCCAACUCUGAAAUUUAAUACUUAUUAAAAUCAAAGAUUUCAAAACUUAGCAUUUAAGUCCAAAUUACUCAAAUCCACAAAAUACUUUACUUUAUAAAAAUAAAACCUUUUAUUUAUGAAAAAUAUUUAAUUAAAUUAAUCUCUUGAGCUUCUCAAAUGCUAAAUCAUGCAUCAAUUAAAUCAUACCAGCUUUACAAGAAUUUAUCGCACUAAUUUAUUCGUUGAGCUCUAAACUAUAUUCUUGAUGUCGCCGUUGUCCGUUGAGUGUCUUCAAUCUUGAUUUCACUUUAUUCACUUGCAUAAAUAUUAUCCUUCAAAAACUAGUGAAAAUGUGAAAUACAAUAUUUAUUAAAUUACUUAAUACACAUGUUUGUUAUCAUCAAAAUUACAUUAUGUAUAGCCUUUUAGGCUAACAAUAAUUAGUUAAGAAUUAAAUGAUAUAUAACUAAUUGGUAAAAGUGAUAAAUAUAAAAAUGAGAGAGUAUUAAAAUUAUAGUUUGAAUACUGAGAGUGGAUCUUGUAACCUUAGCAUAGUUUUAAAUUGAUUUCUAGUGAUGUAUUUUCCCGCAAUUAAUUUUCUUUGUUUAAGAAAUUGACAACUAGAUUUUAAAUUCUCUGUGGUUCGACCUCGGAAUCACCGGGUGAUAUGAUAACUAGACACUCUUAUACUUAGGAGUACUAUACUUUUGAGUCGUGUCAACUUGCCUAGCCAAUCUGGCUGUCUAAUGUUAAAUUUAACAAUUACUCAAUGGAGUGACUGAUAAUAGGAUCUCUUCCAAAGGUCCUAUGAGCGUGAAAUCUUUAAUAAAGGCAAAUUUCUAAUUGCUUAUAGAUUUUUAAUUUUUGGCUCGUGCUAAGAGAUGAAGAGUUUACAACCUAUGGUCAAGGAAUUAGUGAUGAAAUUGACACAACUUAAAAGUGAUUUCUAACUCUCAAGUAUAUGAGUGUCUUGUUACAUUAUAGCUUGGUGAGUUCAAGGUUGAUCCACAGAGAAAAAUAUUUACUUUGUUUAUUUUUUUUAUCUAAAAGUGAAAAUAAACUUGAAUAUAAAUAUCUUAAUUUAAAUGAAACUAUAAAAUUGAAUUAGUUAGGGUUAUGGAUCCACUCUUAGUAGUAAAUAAAAUUUAAUAAAUUCUUUUGUCAUUUUUAGAUUUAUUUCCCAAAUGAUUAAUUAUAUAAAUUAUUAUUAUUCUCAUUAAUUUUAUUAUGGAUUAAGUAUUUAUUGUGCCAAAAUUUAAUUUGUCUGCAAUAAAUCAAAAUAUCAUUUUACCAUGCCUUAUAUUAAGAUAUUAAGAAUUUAUUGUGCCAAACUCCCUUACUUGUUUUCAAUAAAUCAAUUUUUAAAAUAUAAAUAUGUAUAAAAUUAAGUAGAAAAUAAUUUAAUUUAUAUAAUUAAAAAUAGAAUUUGAUUAAAAUAUUAUUUAUUUCCUAAGAGUUUCACCUUAUCAUGACUAUUAUUAUUUACCUAAGCAUAAUUGAAAUAAAAAUAAUUAUUAAAAUUAAAUCACUCAUAAUUAAAAGUAAUACAAACAACUAAAUUUGAAAAUAAAACUAGAUUUAUUUAUAAAAGUAAUUAUACAAAACAUGAAAACAUUCCUGAAAAACAAGAUUACAGGGAAAUUGAGAGAAAUUGAGAAGAAUAGAGAUUAUCAAAAAUAUAAAAAUGAGGCUCUAUUAUAGAAAAAAUAAAUUCAUAAUUCAGUGUUUUGCUGUCCAUCAAAAACUUUAUGCAUGCGCUCUACACAACCAUUAUAUCAAGAUCCAACGGCUGGUCAAACUUCAAAAGUCAACAUUACAUGUGGCAUCUUGCGAAGCGUCCGAAUUGGUCAAAGAAUUGUUGAGAUUUGGUGGGUUAAUGGGUGGAUCAGGUCGACUCGAAUACAAAGAUUUGGAUCCUACAACUUGUUUCACCAAUCAUUACCACGUGGCACGAUCAUGGCCAUUAAAUUAUGAAUGGUUGAGAUUUAGUCAAAAUUGACAGCUAUCCAACGCACUCAUAUCUAUUGUAAGCUCAUUUUAUCAUCCAAUUAGUGUUCGGUCAACAAAAGAAGUUGACUUUUUGCACAAGCUCAAUUUUAAGCCGGUCUUGACUAAUCUUACGGUUUUCAAACCUUCAGAAUCCAAAUUUGACAUUUGUUUAUCUAUUUGAAGUCUCGAAUUAUGUGAAAUUAAUAUUUUAUCAAAUAAACACACAAAAAUACAAAAAAUUAAUAAUUCCUAAUAUAUUGUAUAAACACAAAUAUAAAUUAUAAUAUAAGCACAAAAUAACAUUUUAUCGCUUGAUAAUCAAAUAAUUUUUAAUACUAAUUAGAAAUCCAAUCCUUAUAUUGUUGGGGUGAUUUCCCUCACUAAAAUUUUAAUGCAAAAUGUUGAAUGCAAACCAAACAAGAAAAACAUAAAACAAAUAAUUAGUGCCUUAAAAAAAACGAUGCUAAGUUAUUCUACUUUACAUUUUGUCCAAAAAUCUAACGUAAUCUAUACUAUAAAAAUAAGUUUUUUAAAACUAGAAAAAGAAUGAAAAAUAAGGAAAUAACUAAACCAAAAAUAAAGAAAAUAGUUGAAAAUUAAAACAAAUUAACAAAACUGACGACAUCCAGUAAAUGAGAUUUAAAAUAAAGAAAUCAGAUGAAAAUCUAAUUCUAAUUUUUUUUUUUUCUUUAUUUUUUAAAUAAUAAAAAACAACCUAAAGUAAAAUUAGUGGAUGAAACAAAUCAACCUCGAUUAAACUAAUUUUUUGGCACAAUACCCUCAAUGUCAGAAAAAAACUUAUUACACAAAAUUUUAAUAUACCUGAAAGGGCAUGAAUCUUUAGAAAAUAGAAUACCAGUAAUAAGGUCAAAACAUUGUGAUUGCUAUAAAUUAGAAAGUUUAAUUUAAAUCUAAAUAAGUAUUAAUCCUAAUUUAGUUUAGUAAAUUUAGUUUUAAGAGAAAUUAAACUAAUUAAGCUAAGGGAACAAGUAAAACAAAGGAGAAUUCAAUAAGAAAGAGGUUACCAAGGUUUCAAAAUCCAUCAGUAUUCAACUAGUAAUUAUUCAACUAUCAAUUAAUUCUAAUUUUGGAGUAAUAAAUCAAAAUCAAUUUAUAUUAUCUCAUGGAUAUCACAAUUAAGCCAAAGUAAUUAAAUCUAGGGAAAUUAUCAUUUGUAUACCCUUAGUUUACUCAAUUAUCAAAAAUACUACAACACUUUGAAGGUGUAUCAAUCGUCCACCCUAAGUUGACAAAUGUAUCAGCUGACCACCAAACCGUUAGUUGCCGUUAAAGUAUAAUGACGUCAGAAGGGUAAUUUGGUCUUUUCAUAUGAUACAAGUGAUAAUUUAAGGGUAUAUAAGUGAUAAAAAGAGAAUUUAAGGGUAUACAAGUGAUAAUUUUCAAGGGUAAAAUCGUUAAUUCACUGUAAUUCCGUUAACUUUCAAACGGCAACUAACGGUUUGGUGGUCGGCUGAUACAUUUUUCAACUAAGGGUGACGAUUGAUACACCCUCAAAGUGUUGUAGUUUUUUGAUAACAGAGCAAAUAUAGGGUAUACGAAUGAUAAUUUCCCUUAAAUCUAAUAGGUUCUUUGUUGCUUCAAGGUAGGAUUUCUAAGCAUUAUAUUUAUCCUAUUUAAAAAAAAAAAAAUUAAAGUUUCUUAAGCAUUUUUUGUAACAAUUUAUUGAAAAAAAUAAAAAGAGAAUCAUGUUAAUUAUUAUUUUACUAAACUUAGAUUGAAUCAAAUAAUCUGCUAACUAUCAAGCAUGUAUGGUAUCAAAGAUAAAAAGAUAAUUAUUCAAUUAAUAUGUGAAAUAAGAACCAUAAUCAUCAAAGAACACAUGUAGGGCAUUAAUAAAAGGAUAAUUAUUUCAUUGAUUAAGAUUUCGCCAUUAAUCUCAGCAUAAGAAAAUUAAUUAAACAUACUUGAAAGGAGUGCAACAAAAUUAUUAAUAGAACCAGCCAUGGAAAGCUUUCAAAGACUACUACUGCUCCUUCUCUUGUCUGCGAUCUAGCUUCUGAAUUGUAUCUAUUGUGGCUGAAUUCUUGGCCGUAUAUAAUGCUGAAGACCGUCCACUACUGGCCAAAUUCAAUUCGAAGUCUAAUUUAAAAUCCUUUUCCAUUUGUAAAAUCAAUCUUUCUAAUUAGCGCCACCAUUACUUGUCAAUGCCUUAAACCAUUAAUUUUUUUUCCCCACUUUUGGUAGCUCUGCCCAUGCUUUCCAAUUGUAGAAUUAUAAUUCCUUCUAAAUGCAAAUUAAUCCUAGCUUCAGCUGCUGUACGCUCAAGCUAAGCCAUCUUCAAUGCUUCCCCAAAAUUGUUAAGAGAUUAAUUAUGCACUUUUCAUCCAUAACCUCCAAUUAAUUUACUGUUCAAUAAAGUAAUUCAAUUAACUAUAAUUAACAAAUUAAUUAAUUAAUAAAUAUAUAAUUAAGGGUAAAUUAUGUAAAUUUAUGGGCUUAUCAAAUACUCCCGAAGUUAGAUUUUGUUGGUCCUUAAGAAAUAAAAAAUAAAAUAAAAUAAAAAUAAAGAAGCACAAAGAAAUUCCUAGCUAAACCAUUUUCGGAGGUGAUUGCGAUAACAUUUAGUGUAGGCAACAAGCAUUUAAAUCCUUAGGUAACCGUAGUGGACGAGUUAUAAGCUCAUGAGAGCUUCAGCAAUAAUACCCACAACUAUUAUAUAUAUAUAUUUCAAUGACAAAAUAACAUAAAAAGUGUUAGCUUGAACCAGCAAGCCAUUGAUUCAAGACCCCCAAAGAUCCAAUCUUAGACUUUAAAUCCCCAAAUCCAAAACAUGAUAGCCUUAAUUGAAGUGACCGAGGCCAGUUUAACCCAAACCAACAAGAAAUAAUCACAAAGGAGCAAUUAAUUAGAACAAAAGAUCAACAUAAGAGGUUUAGAAUGGUUCAGCUAUUAUCAAUUGAAUGAGCUAAAGAAAUGAUCAUAAGUCUUUAUAUACAAUCAAAAAAAGAUCUAGAAAGAUCCACCUACUGUCGGCAUCCGUAAUUUUCCCACUAUUUCCAGUAGCUUUAAGAGCUAUUUGAGUAGCCUUGCUACAUGUAUCUCGCGUGCAUAUGCUUCAAUAAAAAAGACGGCAAUUAACCCAUGCCAAUUAAGCCAGACAAAUUUAAGCGAUUCACGUGACUAACCACAUGCUUUACUUAUUGUCUAGACGACAUUAGUAAGUUGUCAUACACACUGGCAGAUGAUAAAUGUCAGUGAUGACAGCAAGACAAGACAGUGAAUUUCUAACCAAAGAAAUGACUAGUCGUCCUGGUCUGCAUUUUCUGUUUUUUAGUUUCACUAUCAACAAAAGGAUCGAAAGACUCUUUAAAUAAAAUAUAAAACAAGCCUCAAAGAUUGUAUAAAUUAUAUAGCUCAAAGAGAAUUUUAAAUUAUCAAAGUUCUAACUUUAAUAUAAGAAUAAACCCCGUCUCUCUUUCAAUUUUUGUAAUUCCCAAAAUCCUAAAUAUCAAUAGGCUUUUCUUUGAACAAAGAAAAAGAAUACGCCAAACUAAUUUUAUUAUCUUGAUUUCUAAUUUUUUUUUAUACAGGUAUUUAUGUGUAUUUUUGUAUUUUUUCUUUUAGCAUAUUCAUAUAUAUAUUAGGGUUAGGAGUUUUCACUCUAUUCCUUAUGGUAAUCUUUUUCUCAAUGUAAAUUUUCUUCAGUUUACUAAUGGUACAAAGACCAAACUACUCAAAAAUAACUUUACUCUUAAUGGUUAAAGGUAACCAUUUGCGACUAUAGUACCUUUUAUGCUACAUUUUAUUGUGGAAGUAAGAAUCGAGGCAUGAUUACAAUGCUUGGUCUCAUUCAUUAUGGAACUAAAUUAUUCUUCGUUUACCUUUUAUGUUUGCAUAUGGAGUUUUUUUCGUAGGUGUAGCAUUUUCCUUUGUUCAAUUUCCGAGAGGCUUUGCAUUCGGAACAAUUCCUCUUUCCCGUUUGAAUCUUUGCUUUAUUGCUUAACAGAAUUAUUCCCUAAGCUUAUAACGACUAGGGAAUUAUUCAUUUAAGCUGAGGAGGGAACAUUAUUAUUGGGGAAUUAUUCCCCUAAGAAUAUAAGGAAUUAUUCCUGUAGGGGAAUUAUUCCUUAUGAUUAUGGGGAUAAUUUUUGCUGGGGAAUUACUCUCCCUAGGGAAUAUUUCCUGAAGCUUAUAGCAUAUUAUUCAUGCCGAGGAAUUAUUUCCCUAUAUGUAUAGGGAGUAAUUUUUGCUUGCGAAUUAUUCUUGCUAUGGAAUUGUUUCCUUAUGCUUAUUGGGAAUUUAUUUCUGUUGGGGAAUUAUUUCCCUAUGCUUAUGAGGAAUAAUUUUUGUUGGGGAAUUAUUCUUAUUAGGGAAUUAUUUCCUUAACCUUAUAGGGAAUUAUUCUUAUUAGGGCAUUAUUCUCUAAAGCUUAUAGGGAAUUAUUCUUGCUGGCGAAUUAUUUCCUUAACCUUAUAGGAAAUUAUCAUUGUUGGGAAUUA